CCUACGGGUGGCAGCAGUGGGGAAUAUUGCACCAUGGGGGCAACCCUGAUGCAGCGACGCCGCGUGAGUGAAGAAGUAAUUCGUUACGUAAAGCUCUCUCAUCAGGGACGAAAAUGACGGUGCCUGCGUAAGAAGCCCCGGCUAACUACGUGCCAGCAGCCGCGGUAAUACGUAGGGGGCAAGCGUUAUCCGGAUUUACUGGGUGUAAAGGGGGCGUAGACGGGGCGCCAAGUCUGGAGGGAAAUGCCCUAGCUUAACUGCGGAACUGCUUUGGAAACUGGCGAACUAGUGUGCUGGAGGGGCAAGCGGAAUUCCGGGUGUAGCGGUGAAAUGCGUAGAUAUUAGGAGGAACACCGGUGGCGAAGGCGGAUUACUGGACCGUAACUGACGUUGAGGCUCGAAAGCGUGGGGAGCAAACAGGAUUAGAUACCCGGGUAGUC
rnacentral:rRNA from 1 species